rnacentral:rRNA from 1 species
UACGUAGGGUCCGAGCGUUGUCCGGCAUUAUUGGGCGUAAAGGGCUCGUAGGCGGUCUGUUGCGUCGGGAGUGAAAACUUACAGCUUAACUGUGAGCGUGCUUUCGAUACGGGCAGACUUGAGGCAUUCAGGGGAGAACGGAAUUCCUGGUGUAGCGGUGAAAUGCGCAGAUAUCAGGAGGAACACCGGUGGCGAAGGCGGUUCUCUGGGAAUGUCCUGACGCUGAGGAGCGAAAGUGUGGGGAGCGAACAGG